rnacentral:lncRNA from 1 species
CAAUGAUCCGCAAAUGAAAUCACAUCUAAAACUUACCCAAAAGAAACUUUGCAUUUACUUAUAAGAGCAACUAACUUAAGACCCUAACGGAAGUGUAAGAAAACUGUAAAGCAAACAAAUCGAAACUAAUUUUAAUCAAGUAAAAUAUCAAAAUAUUCAAAAAACUCUUCGAAGAAAUCCAAAAUAUACACAUAGUAAAAAUUUGAUCAGAAAGCUGUACAUAGAAAGAGCCGUGAAGGAGCCAUGGAUUGUAAAAGUUGAAAACUUUCGAAUUUGGCAAAUGUUUCGAUGAGGAAAUAGAUCUAAAUGUACUAUGAAUAAUGGGCGUAUGCCUGAAAGUAAUUGAAUCAAUCAGUGCAAAGCUGCCGGAACCCAUUUGAAUGGCUCCUCUGUGGACUUUGGCCUUCCCAUUGCAAUUGGAAAUGUUCUUUCCCUAUGAAAACAAUUUUUAAAAUUUCCAACAAUUGUAAUUUGGAGCAAGAACUUCUUCAGAAUGUUAAAGAGAAAUAGAGUUCCAGAAGGAAUGAAUCCAAAUAAAAAACGAAAAUAAUCUUCAAACACUUUGGAAGCUGUUAGCUCUGAUUGUAGGAGCUUAUCAUGCCUAUCUUCCAUCUGUUUAAAGUUAUUUGAUUAAUAACUAAAUAUUGUUAGGGUGCAAUGACCAUAUCCAAAAUGUUGCUAUUACAAAAAGUUGAAUUACUUUAACUUCUUUGAUGAAUGUUUUUACACCCGUUCCACAUUGAGUCACCCCUCUAUAAGUGUUGGCAUGAAUGUAUCCCUUGUGAAAUUAGCAACAUGCAUGAUACUAAUCCUUUGGCUUAUGCUAAUUUAUCUUGAGCUGAGUCAGAGGCACCUGGGAUAAGGUUCUGCCCGUACUCUCGAGCAGUUGAUGCCCAAAAACUGGUGAAAAUUGACACAGACAUGCAUGGGGCGAAAAUGCGCAACAAACCGCAUUAAAUGCAUUCAAGUCCAAACAAACUAAACAGCCAACAAACAAGAGGCCAACAGCAGUUCAUGACUCAUGCCGCGAAAAAGGCACAGGGAAGGGAAAGGAAGUGCUGGUGAGGGGAUUGCAUGUCUGGGGCCUGGCGUGUGAGAAAUGCAAUCCAUUGGCCUGGCGCGGCUCAUUUGCAUACAAAGCCGUUGGUUCGAUUGUGGGCCAAAAGGGAACAAAUGGCCAGCAGCACGAGUAUCUCGGGCAUUUCUUUGAUAGCCAACUGGGCCACUGGCAGCUUGGCAUUGAUUGACCGGGCGGGGCAGUACUCCUUCCUAUAAAUUAGCCAAAAUGAAUGUUUACUGUAAACUGUACAUAGCCAGAGAGGAGUUUCAACUCGAAUGUCAUUAGAUGUUAAGCAGAAGGAAGCGCUGAACAGCUCUAUAAGCAUAUUCUCCAUUCAAAUCUAAGCAAAUCUUGUGCGUGUUGUAAAUUAAAAACAAAAUGGGAUAGCAUAAACCCAGAAAAACCAAAACCAAAUCAAAAUUUGAAUUCAAACAAGAGAGAAAUGUGAAACAAAAUGAACCUCUCUUGUUGGAUUGGUUUUUAGCUAAGGAAAAUAUCGUAAACUAAACCUUCCAGCAUUAUCCAUUAUCCUUCACCAUUAAAUUUUGUUCACAUUUAUUUUUCCU